rnacentral:tRNA from 1 species
GCCUCGGUAGCGCAGUAGGUAGUGCGUCAGUCUCAUAAUCUGAAGGUCGAGAGUUCGAUCCCCACCCGGGGCA